rnacentral:rRNA from 1 species
GCCGCGGUGAAUACGUUCCCGGGCCUUGUACACACCGCCCGUCACACCACGAGAGUUUGUAACACCCGAAGUCGGUGGGGUAACCCUUACGGGAGCCAGCCGCCGAAGGUGGGACAGAUGAUUGGGGUGAAGUCGUAACAAGGUAGCCGUAUCGGAAGGUGCGGCUGGAUCACCUCCUUU